rnacentral:rRNA from 1 species
UACAGAGGUCCCAAGCGUUGUUCGGAUUCACUGGGCGUAAAGGGUGCGUAGGUGGUGAAGUAAGUCGGAUGUGAAAUCUCGGAGCUUAACUCCGAAACUGCAUUGGAAACUACUUUGCUCGAGGGUUGGAGGGGGGACUGGAAUUCUCGGUGUAGCAGUGAAAUGCGUAGAUAUCUGGAGGAACACCGGUGGCGAAGGCGGCAUCCUGGACCGACACUGACGCUGAGGAGCGAAAGCCAGGGGAGCAAACGGG